UACGUAGGGGGGCAAGCGUUGUCCGGAUUUAUUGGGCGUAAAGAGCGUGUAGGCGGCCAUGUAGGUCCGUUGUGAAAACUCGAGGCUCAACCUCGAGACGUCGGCGGAAACCAUCUGGCUAGAGUCCGGAAGAGGAGAGUGGAAUUCCUGGUGUAGCGGUGAAAUGCGCAGAUAUCAGGAAGAACACCCGUGGCGAAGGCGGCUCUCUGGGACGGUACUGACGCUGAGACGCGAAAGCGUGGGGAGCGAACAGG
rnacentral:rRNA from 1 species